UCAGCAGCCGCGGUAAUACGGAGGGGGCSAGCGUUAMUCGGAAUUACUGGGCGUAAAGCGCGCGUAGGUGGUUUGAUAAGCWAGCUGUNAAAGCCCCGGGCUCAACCUGGGAACUGCAGUUACAACUGUCUNUCUAGAGUAUAGUAGAGGGUGGCGGAAUUUCCUGUGUAGCGGUGAAAUGCGUAGAUAUAGGAAGGAACAUCAGUGGCGAAGGCGGCCWCCUGGACUAAUACUGACACUGAGGUGCGAAAGCGUGGGGAGCAAACAGGAUUARAUMCCCUGGUAGUCCACSCCGUAAACGAUGUCUACUAGCCGUUGGGAGACUUGAUCCUCCUYAGUGGCGCAGUUAACGCGAUAAG
rnacentral:rRNA from 1 species